GAGGCCAUUAUAGAAAUCUACAGCUUGACAAAAUCCAGAGAACUAUGACCAUGGAAUUCCCAAGCCCAGUUGAUACAUCUAUAAAUCUACAAUACAAUCUCUACACUUAAGACUCAAGGAAUAUCACAGAAGAAAGGGUAUAAAGAUCAUAAGGGACAGAGGACCGAACAUUCUGCUAGGACCAGAUAUUCUUCUAAGAGGAUUGCCUACAAAAAGGGGAAGAAAAAGUUGGGGCAUUAAACUAAAGAAGGAAGAUGUAACAAUGGCCUGCUCAGAGGACUUUUCCACGUGGACGAUGGUUCUCAAGAGGCACAGGUUGAUAACUCUCCAGCCUUAGGGACUAAGCCAUCAGAGGAAGGUGAAGCGUAUUUACUGUAAAUGGCAAUUGCAUUGUUUGUUGGUGUCAUUAUCUGAUAAUAAAACAUGGAAGAAAAAUGUGGGCAGGCAUGGCUCCAUCUUGGAAGGCCAAUCGGAGCUUGGUGGGCCAUGUGAAAAGGGACCGAGAGCACUGUCUCUUGUGAGUAAAUCAGAAGCCAAUCUCAUUGGAACUAGCUGAGUGGAACUGCAUCAGCACAGCAUGCUGGAGGAGCUGGAGUUUUGUACACUUUAAUCACACCCUGCGCUGGAAGAUACAUGAGGAAGGAAGGAAGUAGCUGUGAAGUGGGAGGCGGCCAGGUAAACACCUUGAAGUGAUCACUACCACAUGGAUACAAAACCAUGCCUCCAAGAAGCAUUCGUCUGGGCAUGAAGAAAAGACAGCUGUGUAAAGUCUGGGGCUAGGAACAUAUGGCAGCCACUCUCCCUCAGUGGAUGGUCAUGGAAGCAUAUAAGACAACUGAAACAUGCACCUGCUGGCAGCACAUGGUACAGAGCCUUUCAUGUUCGGUUGUCUGAUGAAGACGUUCUAAGGGACACAGGCGAGUGUGCGCUGGAGGUGAGAACAGCACGGUGUUUUCCAUCAGUGAGUCAGUCUGUUGAACCUCAGGUAGGUUGAACUUAGAAAAUGGCACAGGGAACCAAACUGUGCUGGAGACCCCAGGCUGCAGGAGCAUUUGGAUAUAAAUACCCUACUUUUGGUGAUCAGGACUUUUUAUAUUACUGCUUCAGCUAUGUGCUACACACACACACAUUACAAUAUCUUCUUUCCCCACAUUAAGAAUCUUCCACAGAAAUAAAGAUAAGACUAAGAAUCAGGAA